rnacentral:tRNA from 1 species
UUAUAAAAAGGUAUAUUUAACUUUACAAUGAAAAUGUAAUGUUUUAAUUAAACUAUAUAAAUAAAAAUCAGAAAU